UGGGGAAUAUUGCACAAUGGGCGCAAGCCUGAUGCAGCCAUGCCGCGUGUGUGAAGAAGGCCUUCGGGUUGUAAAGCACUUUCAGCGAGGAGGAAGGUGGUGAGCUUAAUACGCUCAUCAAUUGACGUUACUCGCAGAAGAAGCACCGGCUAACUCCGUGCCAGCAGCCGCGGUAAUACGGAGGGUGCAAGCGUUAAUCGGAAUUACUGGGCGUAAAGCGCACGCAGGCGGUUUGUUAAGUCAGAUGUGAAAUCCCCGGGCUCAACCUGGGAACUGCAUUUGAAACUGGCAAGCUAGAGUCUCGUAGAGGGGGGUAGAAUUCCAGGUGUAGCGGCGAAAGUGCGUAGAGAUCUGGAGGAAUACCGGUGGCGAAGGCGGCCCCAUGGACGAAGACUGACGCUCAGGUGGCGAAAGCGUGGGGAGCAAAACAGGAUUAGAUACCCCUGGUAGUCCACGCUGUAAACGAUGUCGAUUUGGAGGUUGUGCCCUUGAGGCGUGGCUCCGGAGCUAACGCGUUAAAUCGACCGCCUGGGGAGUACGGCCGCAAGGUUAAAACUCAAAGGAAUUGACGGGGUCAUAGCUGUUUCCUG
rnacentral:rRNA from 1 species